rnacentral:rRNA from 1 species
UACGUAGGUGGCAAGCGUUGUCCGGAAUUAUUGGGCGUAAAGCGCGCGCAGGCGGGAACUUAAGUCUAUCUUAAAAGUUCGGGGCUCAACCCCGUGAUGGGGUAGAAACUGGGUUUCUUGAGUAUCGGAGAGGAAAGUGGAAUUCCCAGUGUAGCGGUGAAAUGCGUAGAUAUUGGGAGGAACACCAGUGGCGAAGGCGACUUUCUGGACGAUGUCUGACGCUGAGGCGCGAAAGCCAGGGAAGUGAACGGG